UACGAAGGGUGCAAGCGUUGCUCGGAAUUAUUGGGCGUAAAGGGUAGGUAGGUGGUCUUAUUUGUCUUAGGUGAAAUCCUUGGGCUCAACCCGAGACGUGCCUAAGAAACGGUAAGACUAGAGUAAUAGAGGGGUUUGUGGAAUUCCCGGUGUAGCGGUGAAAUGCGUAGAGAUCGGGAGGAACACCUGAGGUGAAGACGGGUUGCUGGGCCGACACUGACGCUGAGUGCGCGAAAGCCAGGGGAGCAAACGGG
rnacentral:rRNA from 1 species